UACGUAGGGUGCGAGCGUUAAUCGGAAUUACUGGGCGUAAAGCGUGCGCAGGCGGUUCGUUGUGUCCGAUGUGGAAGCCCCGGGCUUAACCUGGGAAUGGCAUUGGAAACUGGCGAGCUUGAGUGCGGCAGAGGGGGGUGGAAUUCCGCGUGUAGCAGUGAAAUGCGUAGAGAUGCGGAGGAACACCGAUGGCGAAGGCGGCUCACUGGCCCGGUACUGACGCUGAGGUGCGAAAGCGUGGGGAGCAAACAGG
rnacentral:rRNA from 1 species